AUAUUGCACAAUGGGGGAAACCCUGAUGCAGGGACGCCGCGUGAGCGAUGAAGUAUUUCGGUAUGUAAAGCUCUAUCAGCAGGGAAGAAAAUGACGGUACCUGACUAAGAAGCCCCGGCUAACUACGUGCCAGCAGCCGCGGUAAUACGUAGGGGGCAAGCGUUAUCCGGAUUUACUGGGUGUAAAGGGAGCGUAGACGGCGGUGCAAGCCAGAUGUGAAAGCCCGGGGCUCAACCCCGGGACUGCAUUUGGAACUGUGCUGCUAGAGUGUCGGAGAGGCAGGCGGAAUUCCUAGUGUAGCGGUGAAAUGCGUAGAUAUUAGGAGGAACACCAGUGGCGAAGGCGGCUUACUGGACUGUAACUGACGUUGAGGCUCGAAAGCGUGGGGAGCAAACAGG
rnacentral:rRNA from 1 species